rnacentral:ncRNA from 1 species
GUAAAGUAUUAUCCUGGCUUUUCUUCUCUUGUUUAACUAGUUGUACAUGUAACCUUUUGGGUAAGAAGUAAGCAUUAUUGAUCUUAAAGUAAAAUAAUGAGGUAUUAUUAGUCGCAGUACUUGAUUUUGUUUAUUAAUUAAUGUUUGAAGCAGUUAAGGUUUAAGAGACCCGGCGAAAUUCGUGCCAGCCGCCGCGGUGAGACGAGGGGGUUGAAGGGAAGAAUUGGUGAUGGUUAAACUAUAGUUAUAAGUUUAGAUUGAAGAACUUGUUUUGUUUAUUUUUAGGUGAAAUUAUUAUUUAAAAUAAUGAGUUCUAUGUUUGAAGCUAUGAAAUUAUUUUUUAAACUAGGAUUAGAUACCCUAUUAUUUUUAAUGUAAAAUGUGAUACCUGGGUAAUAGUAGUUAUGUUCUUGAAACUCAAAGGAUUUGACGGUAUUUUAGGCUGUUCAGAGGAAUCUGUCCCGUAAUCGACAAUCCACGAUAUAUUUUACUUACUGUUGUCGGCAGUUUGUAUACCGCCGUAGUUGAAGGUAUUAGGGAGAGGUCAAGGACCUUCAUUACCUUUAUUGAGGAAGAGUUCAGGUCAAGGUGCAGCUUAUCAGUAAGAGGAGAUGGAUUACAAUAGAAUGUUUAUACGGAUUUUAUUAUGAAAUUAUUUAAAUGAAGGUGGAUUUGAAUGUAAUGUUAGUUAUGUUACUAUUAUGAGUAUGGCUCUAAAAUAUGUACACAUCGCCCGUCGCUCUCAUUUGUCUAGGUGAGAUAAGUCGUAACAUAGUGGGUGUACCGGAAGGUGCACCUAGAUUGAAUUAAUAG